AUUGAACGCUGGCGGCAUGCCUUACACAUGCAAGUCGAACGGCAGCACGGGAGCAAUCCUGGUGGCGAGUGGCGAACGGGUGAGUAAUAUAUCGGAACGUGCCCAGUCGUGGGGAUAACGCAGCGAAAGCUGUGCUAAUACCGCAUACGAUCUAUGGAUGAAAGCGGGGGAUCGCAAGACCUCGCGCGAUUGGAGCGGCCGAUAUCAGAUUAGGUAGUUGGUGGGGUAAAGGCUCACCAAGCCGACGAUCUGUAGCUGGUCUGAGAGGACGACCAGCCACACUGGGACUGAGACACGGCCCAGACUCCUACGGGAGGCAGCAGUGGGGAAUUUUGGACAAUGGGCGAAAGCCUGAUCCAGCCAUGCCGCGUGCAGGAAGAAGGCCUUCGGGUUGUAAACUGCUUUUGUACGGAACGAAACGGUCUGGGUUAAUACCCUGGGCUAAUGACGGUACCGUAAGAAUAAGCACCGGCUAACUACGUGCCAGCAGCCGCCGUAACAC
rnacentral:rRNA from 1 species